CUUCAUUUUAAAGCAAUCGCACUGUCUUCUGUGGGAUCCUCACCCAUUGGCUCCUGUCCCAUCACAACAGACAAAAAAGGCCACGUCCUGGCUUUGAGAGAAUGGACUUAAUUGUGUUUGCUUACACACGCCAGAGCCAGGCUGUGGUUCGCCGUGCCUGCAGGUGUCAAAAUGCCCUGACAUACACCGGGUCUUAGAUCACGGCAGGGUAGGAAUUUCUUCCCACGCCGGGUCUGCAUCCUGGAAAGAAGGCUCUGAUGCUGAGGAUACCUCCGGGGUUGAGUGGGGCCCUAAGUGCUCCUGGCAUAGCAUAGCCCCUUCACUCAGUGUCUCUGUAGACCACCUGCUCUUUAGACAACUUCUUCUAACCAAAACCCAGUCUCCUGCUCCUUUUCGUGUCUCUUCAAAAUUUAUCAGAAUAUCUUUAGGCAACCAACCGUUGUAUAGGGGUAAAGUUAAGGAUCUCGAGAUGAGAUUACCCUGGAUUAUCUGGUGGGCCCUAAAUCCAAUAAGUGUCUUUACAAAAAGAAGAAGUCACAGAGGAGAAGACCUGUGAAGCCAGAGGCAGAAAGUGGAGUGAGGCCCACAGCCACUAGAAGCUGGGAGAGGUGAAGAACGAAAUCCCCCCAAGCCUCAGCGGGAACACAGCCGACACCUUGACGUCCGGCCCCAGGAUGGUGAGAGAAUAAAGUGCUUUUGUCUUUCUUUCUCUCAUUUUCUCUCUGGGCCCUUCCCAUAUUCUGGCACCCCUUGACUUUUGACCCCUGGAGAAUGCUGCAAACAGGAGAGAAGAUCUGAGAGGCCAGGCACUG
rnacentral:lncRNA from 1 species